GGGCGAGCGCGCUCGGCUCCCGUCAGCACUUCACCCCGCCAGAGGCCUCCUGACGGGCGCGAGCCUCACCGUGAGCCCUAGCUUGGGUCCCCUGUUGCUCCGCCCUUGCGACUGCUGUUUCUUUCCUCUGCCGCCCCGGACCCCGGGGUCCUCUCCCGAGGUCAGCUGGCAAACCUGAGAGGAGUGUUGAGCGCGUGCUGUGCGCCUCUCGCUCGAGGCCCCUCAGCUUGCAAGUGGUUGGAAUGACCAGCAAGACGGAGUCCCAGCUAAGAAACAGCUUUUAGCCUUUACAGCCUGAGAACACCAGGGACAAUCUUUAGACAAGACAGAGAGAGAGUCAGAGACACAGGAUGGAGCCCCAACGCGGGACUCGAUCCUGGGACUCCAGGAUCGCGCCCGGAGCCAAAGGCAGGCACUAAACCACUGGACCACCCAGAGAUCCCCUGAACAAGCAACCACCAGUCUACUUUCUGCCUCUAUGAAUGUGACUGCUCCAGGUGCCCCAUAUAAUGGAAUCAUACAGUAUUCAUCCUUCUGUGACUGGCUUAUUUCACUCUGCAAAAUGUCUUCAAGGUUCACCCAUGUUGCAGCAUGUGUCAGAAUUUCUUUCCUUUUUAAAGGCUGGAUAAUAUUCUAUAUGUAUAUGCCAUAUUUUGUUUUUUUGUCUAUCUAUGGAUUCUUGGGUUGAUUCUACUUUUUGUUAUUGUGAAUAAUGCUAUGAACAUAAGUGUACAAAUAUCUGUUUGAAUCCCUGCUUUCAGUGCUUUUUAGUAUAUACUUAAAGUGUUAUUUUUAAGACU